CAGCCGCCGCGGGAAUACAGAGGGUGCGAGCGUUAAUCGGAUUUACUGGGCGUAAAGCGUGCGUAGGCGGCUUCUUAAUUCGGAUGUGAAAUCCCUGAGCUUAACUUAGGAAUUGCAUUCGAUACUGGGAAGCUAGAGUAUGGGAGAGGAUGGUAGAAUUCCAGGUGUAGCGGUGAAAUGCGUAGAGAUCUGGAGGAAUACCGAUGGCGAAGGCAGCCAUCUGGCCUAAUACUGACGCUGAGGUACGAAAGCAUGGGGAGCAAACAGGAUUAGAUACCCCAGUAGUCCCUGUCUCUUAUAA
rnacentral:rRNA from 1 species